GGGGGGGGUUGUUGGCUUUUUUUCCUUAAAUUUUUAUAAUUUAUUUUGAACUUAAGCACAAAAAAAAAAAAGACAUUUCCACGUACAUAGCAAAACAUAAUAGAAGAUUCAAUAUAAAGUAAUAAAUUUCCAUUUGAAGAAACCUAUAUAAUAAAUACCAUACAUUGUUUUCAAAGAUGCAGAGAUUUUUUUUUGCUUUCUUGUAGGUUUUCUUUUGAUCUGUGCUGUGUACUUGUAACUUUAUUUUCCUCCUCUUUGCCUCCCUCCAAAGAAGGCCACAUUAAGUGUGUGCGCGUGUAAGCAAAGCAGGGACUCCAAGACCUGCAGAGGCCAGUUAGCAAGCGCACCAAGGAGAGACCAGUGGGUUUGGCUGCUAGUAAGAGGGGAGGAAAAUAAGACGCUGAGUGUAGAGGAGGAGGAGGAUUUUCUAGGAUCUUGGCUAGGAAAUGAUAUUUUGGUGAAAUGACCAGACGAAGGAUGAGAAACCUCAAAGUUUGUUGUAUACGUGUUAGAGGGACCAGGAAAGAAAAUGAGAGAAGGAAGAAAUGGUCUAAGGAGCAAACUCCAGGGGAGACCGAAGGGGGUGGGCCCAAGAGCACCAGCAGAGAGAAAAAUCCUGUGUGUCCUGCUCAGAAAAUGGAGCAAAACAAAGGAUGAUUCGCAACACAAAAGAGAUGAAACGUAUACGGUCGAGGAUAAAGAUGACAGACUAAGCUCAAAAAUAGAAGGUCAAAUUCUCUGCUAAGAGGGAGAGGUUGGAAUGUUUUCUGUCUGGGUCUGGAUUUGAACUCGGCUCUUGCGCCUUCAGCCCCAGGGCUCUCCCGCCUGUGUGGAAGCGGCAGUGAUGAGUGGGAGGAGGGGGAGACCUAAAGGAAAAGAACGCUCAGUCCCGAAGAGGGCGGGCGGCCGCAGAGGGCCCCGCAGAGAUCGCGGUUUCCAGGGGCACCGCAAGGCGGAGGAGGAGCGCAGGGGACGAGCCCCCAGCACCCGGGAGGGUCUGGCCCCAUCAGUUCCCGGGCAGGUGACCCAGCGCGGAGAGACUGGGAGCCGCGUCCUCCUCCGGCUCGUCGACAGAGAAGGAAACUGAGGCAAUCCGCGUUAAGUGACUUGUUCCAGACCCAGGAACGGCUCCUGCCUGCGGCCCAGCGCCCGCCUCCUGACUUCACACCCACCUGUGGGACUCGGAGCUUCCCGUACAAACAGCCGCGGCUGGCUACAAACGCACACGCCGCACCCGACCGCAUAGCCUUAUCUAUACACGCGCACAUGCAGACAUACAUGCAGAGACCAAUCGGGAUAACAAAUGCAUUUCAACUUUGAGGGGUCAAAUGUUUCAAUAUCAGAAAUCUAAGAAGCCAUGGACAUAUUCGCUUUGACUAAAAUAUAUAUGUAAGCUUAAAAAAUAAAAUGAAUUAUUAAUGGAUGAACUAACAAGUAGGCUAUAGGGAUCCGAUCCCCUUAUUGCCAUGAACAUGUAUCCACAUCUCUAUACCUCUAUAUGUACACAUGUAUGCAUGCUUUCACAUACAUGUACAUAUAUACAUGUAGAAAUACACAUUAUGUUGUGUCUAAUUUUUUUGGUCACUAAUAAAUGCAUUUGGAACUUUGAGAUGUCAAAUCUUUCAGUAUCAGAAAUCUAAGAAGCCAUGGACAGAUGUUUACUUUGACUAAAAUAUAUGUAUGUAUGUAUGUAUAAGCUUAAGAAAUAAAAUGAAAUCUGGUCUCAGACACUUAACAUGA